GACGAACGCUGGCGGCGUGCUUAACACAUGCAAGUCGAACGCUGAAGCUCAGCUUUUGUUGGGUGGAUGAGUGGCGAACGGGUGAGUAACACGUGAGUAACCUGCCUCCUUCUUUGGGAUAACGCCCGGAAACGGGUGCUAAUACUGGAUAUUCACUGGUCUUCGCAUGGGGGUUGGUGGGAAGGGUUUUUCUGGUGGGGGAUGGGCUCGCGGCCUAUCAGCUUGUUGGUGGGGUGAUGGCCUACCAAGGCUUUGACGGGUAGCCGGCCUGAGAGGGUGACCGGUCACAUUGGGACUGAGAUACGGCCCAGACUCCUACGGGAGGCAGCAGUGGGGAAUAUUGCACAAUGGGCGCAAGCCUGAUGCAGCGACGCCGCGUGAGGGAUGGAGGCCUUCGGGUUGUGAACCUCUUUCGCUCAUGGUCAAGCCGCAACAAUGGUUGUGGUGAGGGUAGUGGGUAAAGAAGCGCCGGCUAACUACGUG
rnacentral:rRNA from 1 species